UUUUUGCUGCCGUCCGCGUUAAGGAUUGCAGCGCAAAUCCUUUUAGACGCAACGCAGUGAAGUUUAAAAGAUUGCAGCGAAAAGUCUGGCCGAAG
rnacentral:sRNA from 1 species